GGGAGAGCACCAGCCUUACAAGCUGGGGGUCACUGGUUCGAACCCAGUACCACCCACCA
rnacentral:tRNA from 1 species